CCUACGGGUGGCUGCAGUGGGGAAUAUUGGACAAUGGGCGAAAGCCUGAUCCAGCCAUGCCGCGUGUGUGAAGAAGGCCUUCGGGUUGUAAAGCACUUUCAGUGGGGAAGAAAGCCUUGGGGCUAAUACCCUCGAGGAAGGACAUCACCCACAGAAGAAGCACCGGCUAACUCCGUGCCAGCAGCCGCGGUAAUACGGAGGGUGCGAGCGUUAAUCGGAAUUACUGGGCGUAAAGCGCGCGUAGGCGGUCUGAUAAGCCGGUUGUGAAAGCCCCGGGCUCAACCUGGGAACGGCAUCCGGAACUGUCAAGCUAGAGUGCAGGAGAGGAAGGUAGAAUUCCCGGUGUAGCGGUGAAAUGCGUAGAGAUCGGGAGGAAUACCAGUGGCGAAGGCGGCCUUCUGGACUGACACUGACGCUGAGGUGCGAAAGCGUGGGUAGCAAACAGGAUUAGAUACCCUGUGUAGUC
rnacentral:rRNA from 1 species